rnacentral:sRNA from 1 species
AAUGAGAGAACAACUAAAUUGAUUUCUUUCUAUUUGUGCCAUCUUAUAAACUUGAGUGAACGACCUCUAUUCCCCUACGCAGUUUCACAUAGUACCACAACUACACAGAUUUAGAACUUCGUUUACAGUCAACACAAAAUAGAAGGUAAAUUAUUAUAUCCUCCUAAAUCGAAAGUUAGAGAAUUUAGUCU